rnacentral:rRNA from 1 species
AUUGAACGCUGGCGGCAUGCUUUACACAUGCAAGUCGAACGGUAACAGGGAGCUUGCUCCGCUGACGAGUGGCGAACGGGUGAGCAAUGCGUCGGAACGUGCCGAGUAGUGGGGGAUAACGCAGCGAAAGUUGUGCUAAUACCGCAUACGUACUGAGGUAGAAAGUGGGGGACCUUCGGGCCUCACGCUAUUCGAGCGGCCGACGUCUGAUUAGCUAGUAGGUGAGGUAAAGGCUCACCUAGGCGACGAUCAGUAGCGGGUCUGAGAGGAGGAUCCGCCACACUGGGACUGAGACACGGCCCAGACUCCUACGGGAGGCAGCAGUGGGGAAUUUUGGACAAUGGGCGAAAGCCUGAUCCAGCCAUGCCGCGUGUCUGAAGAAGGCCUUCGGGUUGUAAAGGACUUUUGUCGGGGAGGAAAUCCCCAGCGUUAAUACCGCUGGGGGAUGACAGUACCUGAAGAAUAAGCACCGGCUAACUACGUGCCAGCCGCCGCCGUAACAC